rnacentral:rRNA from 1 species
GGGGAAUAUUGCACAAUGGGGGAAACCCUGAUGCAGCGACGCCGCGUGAAGGAUGAAGUAUUUCGGUAUGUAAACUUCUAUCAGCAGGGAAGAAAAUGACGGUACCUGACUAAGAAGCCCCGGCUAACUACGUGCCAGCAGCCGCGGUAAUACGUAGGGGGCAAGCGUUAUCCGGAUUUACUGGGUGUAAAGGGAGCGUAGACGGUUAUGUAAGUCUGAUGUGAAAACCCGGGGCUCAACCCCGGGACUGCAUUGGAAACUAUGUAACUAGAGUGUCGGAGAGGUAAGUGGAAUUCCUAGUGUAGCGGUGAAAUGCGUAGAUAUUAGGAGGAACACCAGUGGCGAAGGCGGCUUACUGGACGAUCACUGACGUUGAGGCUCGAAAGCGUGGGGAGCAAACA